ACUUGCAUGAAUUGUACAUUGUAAUAGGGAUAUGUGACUCAUAGGCAUAUUAUACUGUAAGGAUCUUACAUUUUCCAAUUCUAUUUAAGGUAAUGCAACUGUCUACAAAGUAGAGAAGGCCCUGUUGAACAAGAGGAUCCUGAAAGAUGUGGAGAAACUAAGUCCACAGCACCAGACGUCAGCACUGGAGGCGUUCCAUUCUGUAAUUCUGAGGUUCGCACCAAAGAAUGUGCAUUUCCCUUUUGUUGGGAUGCUGUGCAGGCAUUACUUGGCCGGGAUGCAUUUCAAUGAGAACGCCGACCGGAGCCAGGCAAUAAGCUCCACAGGACAACUGGCCUACAUGAUAAAGUACCCAAAGUCAAAGAAGGGACAAUACUCCAUUCAAGCCCUCAAGACCAAGCCAACAUACAACUAUCGGGACGCACUGAUGACACUGCUAUUCCUUGAGGUAUUCCAAAAUCCUGGGCUGCACACAGCCAAGAUGAGCCAGAUGCCAGUUCCAGAGAACCUGAAUGCAUUGUAUGAAAGACCAGUAAAGGCUGAUGCUAUAGCUACCUAUGUGUCACGAUUCAGUCAGUGAGGUCCACUGUAACGUUGUCUGCCAGUGCUGAGCCCACUGUGCAGUACAGCCUCAAUGUGACACAGCUACAGUUGUCUGCCAGUGCUGAGCCCACUGUGCAGUACAAUCUCAAUGUGACACAGCUACAGUUGUCUGCCAGUGCUGAGCCCACUGUGUAGUACAAUCUCAAUGUGACACAGCUACAGUUGUCUGCCAGUGCUGAGCCCACUGUGCAGUACAGCCUCAAUGUGACACAGCUACAGUUGUCUGCCAGUGCUGAGCCCACUGUGCAGUACAAUCUCAAUGUGACACAGCUACAGUUGUCUGCCAAUGCUGAGCCCACUGUGUAGUACAGCCUCAAUGUGACACAGCUACAGUUGUCUGCCAGUGCUGAGCCCACUGUGUAGUACAAUCUCAAUGUGACACAGCUACAGUUGUCUGCCAGUGCUGAGCCCACUGUGCAGUACAGCCUCAAUGUGACACAGCUACAGUUGUCUGCCAGUGCUGAGCCCACUGUGCAGUACAAUCUCAAUGUGACACAGCUACAGUUGUCUGCCAGUGCUGAGCCCACUGUGUAGUACAGCCUCAAUGUGACACAGCUACAGUUGUCUGCCAGUGCUGAGCCCACUGUGCAGUACAUUUACCUAUGCUCUCUAUACCCACUUGACUGUAGCACUCUGUAUAUAAUGUCUAAGAUUGUUGACUAGACUUGAUAUUAUCUUGGUUGCACCUACUUGGAAGUCGCUUAAAAUCGUUAGCUAAAUGACUGAAAUGUAAAUGUCCAUUUAAGGUCUAUUCUCUUUCUACUGUGCUUUGACUUGACAUGUAAUGUGAAUUAAAUUUGAACCUCGUUAUUACACAUAGAAUGUUAUUUAUUAAAGUUAUCAAACAAACCAGAGUGUAUUGUAACAUUUUUUGGAGGGUUUUCCAACACCAAAUAAUGCAAAAUAUUCAGACAUGGGAAAGUGGUUUAAUUAAUUUACUAUGAUGUAAUAAAAAUAUUUAAAUCAAUUACUGAAGUGGUAUUCAGCUGCAGUCCUAGAAUACCCCCUCAUAGAAUGUUUUUGUUCCAAUCCAGAACUAACACUUGAUUCAAUGACUACACCAUUCAGCUAUCUUGAUUAGUUGAAGCAGGUCACUUAUCUCCAUGUCUGUUACCUUCCAGGUUCUACUCUAUAUAAUGUUACAUUCAAUCUAAUUAACUUUUAAAAUCAACCAGCAAUUUAUAGCUACCUCCGAGCUGAUGUUCAUUUAUCCAGUGGGAGCAUAUUUGGUCCCUAUAUUGCGGAGUUUGGUUGAAUUUGCAUGAAUUAUUGCAAUAACAAGAUCGCGAUUUCCUGAAGGGACUACAUAUUGGAGCAUAUACAGUGUCAUUCACUGUAUUGCCUACUAAAAACAACGCUAAUCUAAUGAUGUUUACUGUCGAUUUACACGUUGAAGACACUUAUGAAAACAAUGGCGUGUU